rnacentral:rRNA from 1 species
AGAUUGAACGCUGGCGGCAGGCCUAACACAUGCAAGUCGAGCGGUAGAGAGGUGCUUGCAUCUCUUGAGAGCGGCGGACGGGUGAGUAAUGCCUAGGAAUCUGCCUAGUGGUGGGGGAUAACGUUCGGAAACGGACGCUAAUACCGCAUACGUCCUACGGGAGAAAGCGGGGGACCUUCGGGCCUCGCGCCAUUAGAUGAGCCUAGGUCGGAUUAGCUAGUUGGUGAGGUAAUGGCUCACCGAAGGCGACGAUCCGUAACUGGUCUGAGAGGAUGAUCAGUCACACUGGAACUGAGACCACGGUCCAGACUCCUACGGGAGGCAGCGAGUGGGAAUAGUUGGACAAGUGGGACGAAAGCCUAGACUCCAGCCAUGCCGCGUGUGUAGAAGUAA